rnacentral:tRNA from 1 species
GGCAGAAUGGCCGAGCGGUCCAAGGCGUGUGACUCAAGCGAUCGCGUAAUUAUUACGUAAGCAGCUUAUCCGAUUCGGGUUUCUCAUCAUCGUAUAAUGGCAGGGGUUCGAAUCCCCUUUCUGUCA